rnacentral:piRNA from 2 species
GUCACAGGAAAGGAAAUGGAAACUGCAGG